UAGCUUGCUGAACAGCGGUGCCUUUCCGGAAGUCUAACACGCUGGUUAUCUACAAGUGCCCUCACGAGCGCUUAAAUUGAUCGUAUUUCGUAUUAUUUUUCCACUUAUAAACACUUUUCAGCAAGUGUUUUCUCGCUAGAUAGUCGUAGUGAUGUUUCGAUGGCCGACACUAUAAAUAUAGAGAAUGAAGGAGACGAUUUACACUCACAAAUGGAGGAAGUGGAGGCGCUGUCGUCCAUCUACGGUGACGAAUGGUGUGCCGUCGACGAGGCCUCCAGGAUAUUUUGCAUCAAAAUAUCAAACGACACGGAGGAGACCAAACUGACGGCGUGUUUGCAGAUAAUUCUCCCGCCUGAUUAUCCCAGCGCGGCCCCGCCAAUCUACCAGAUCAAUGCCGCGUGGCUGCGGGGCUCUGAGAGGGUUCAAUUGGCCAACAGCCUGGAAGACCUUUACGUGGAGCACGCGGGGGAGAGCAUUCUCUACAUGUGGGUGGAAAAGAUCAGAGAAUUCCUGCUCGAAAAAGCUCAAGACUCAGCAACAGUCAGAGAAGGUGACCCUCACCGCGGAGGAGGAUCUGGACGACGGAGACGGGCCGGACUUUGCGGGCCUCGCGUUGAGCGCGGAGGAUGCGCAACAUUUCCUGGAACACGCAAACGGAUGUAUCCCGACGUAGAUGAAGAGGUGCCGCCGAUCAAACACGGCGGCUGCAUCACGGACCGCCGCAGCACCUUCCAGUCUCACCUGGCUCCCGUGGUGGCGCCAAGACAGGUCAAAACCGUGCUGGAGAGACUGUACGACAACAAGAAGAUCGCCAGCGCCACUCACAACAUCUACGCGUACAGGAUCUACUGCGAGGACAAGAACAGCUUCCUGCAGGACUGCGAGGACGACGGCGAGACGGCGGCAGGCGGCAGGUUGCUCCAUUUGCUGCAGGCUCGCGGAUUGUUCAUUUCCAAAGUCUGCCGAGCCUUUUAAAGCGUGAUCGCUAAUGAGGACGCAUCUCUCUGAAGCCUCCCGCGGUCCGCUGCUCGCUCUCCGUGCUAAUUUGCUGACCUUUAAAAAGUUUGCUCCAGAUAUGGUUAUUCUAUCCGUAAUGCACUAGAAAUGUAUUAGGUGCCCACACAAGCUUCGAAUUUGUUUUUUUAAUUCACACAAACACCCAGUGCAAAUGGUUACACAAGUUGCAGCAUUUCCAUCUUGUGUGGCCUGGCAAUCUGCCCCCCCAGCAGCCAUGUUAUUAAUUUUCUCAUUUCUCAUAUCAAAUAGACCACUGCUGGUUUUUUUCUUCUUUUUUUCCCCAGCUGCUGUUGUUAGAUGCCAUUGUUAUUCACAAUCCCACGCACACACACACACACACACACACACGAGUAAUUGUCAGGGCCUUUUGUGUAAUGCCGCAAGACCAGUUCCAAAAGCCCUCGUAAAUAGGAAAGUAGUAAUUAUUGUCAAGGAAAUACAGCGGUACUUUGACAUCCAAGUUUAUUUUGAUCCUUGAGCGUGCUCCUAGGUCAAAACACUCAGUGUCUCAAAUCAUCUUUUCCCCAUUGAAAUGAAUGGAAAUGCCAUUGUUCCAGCCCCCCCCUCCCAAAAAAACCAACACAAAUGUGUGUAAUGUGUUUUUUAAAUAAGAAAAAUAGUAUUUUAUUAUGUUGUAGUUUAUAAAAACAUACAGUACAGUGAAAAAUACCGACUAUAUUUGAUGAAUUGAUCUGAUUGGCCCCUUAUUUGCCUUGAUUCGUCCAUGAAACAGAUCCGCACACUAAUAGGCAAGUGCAAUUUGGCGGCUUGGUGAAGUGCUGCCUUCACGAGCGAAAAUAUAAUCAAUGCUUUUGCUGUGUUUACGGGGGGGCGAGCGUAUCCAUCAAAGUUCCCACGGUUGUCACACAGCCGCCCGGUUCACAUGGUAACAAAAGCCGUACUAGGCCUUGGCCCUUCGAAAGACUAUUUUGACCGAAAGCUGUUAAAGACACGUUGAAGAGUAAAACAACUCGUCUUAAAUUGUAGCAAGAAUUCAUACUUUGAAUUGAAUUCUGGGAAUUUCUCGCUCUGUUGUUCCAAAUAGUUCUUUUGACUUCUGAUAGAUGUCAAACUUGCGCACAUGAGCGAAGAAGACUCACGGAUGAGGUCCGUUCCUAUCUGAAAGUGACACUUUCAAUCUUUCCAUCUGUCGCGGCGAGGGAACACACGCUUUUAUCCUCGCCGUAUGACACUCACGGCGCACAGAGCAAUUUGAAUCGCGUGCUUUGGCAUUAAUCGGUUCUGCUCUAAUCUCAUUGCUCUCCCCUUUCUUCCCGUUUGCUUAUUCUUGAUUGGUGGUUUUCUGCCAGUGAGCAUCCAAGUGCACCAUGAUGAAUAAAAGAAGGCCCUGAUUAAUAAUUUGGGUUGCCAGAUGUGCACUCCUUCCCACUACUCCUCCAAAGACCGAAGGAUUGCACUCUUUGUGCGAGUUGAGCAAUUUUAAAGGGGAGGGCUAUCGUGAUUAGCGAUUUACUGGGACUUUGAUGAGAGGAUUGGAGUUUAAUCCAUCUUCAGCGGAGCUUGUUCCAUGUCAGGGAUUGUGCAGCUUCGUCACUGACGCCGUUGCGAUACGCAUCCUGAUACACGGCCAACCACAUGCUAUGUAUAAAGCUACCCUGAUGCAAUACACUCCGAUUACAAUGGCAAACAUACGACCUAAUUUCAUACAACAUCCACCUUUGGCGGCACCGUCAAGAUUUGUGUUUCCUAGCUGCUUCCCCGUGUCGCUCUGCAAACUGUAACUUGGUCUUGAAGUCCGCUAGUCCGCUGCUAACACAUUAUGGGAAGUGCCAUCGACAAGACUACCAAAUAGCAUCUGUGUCGUGGUGUUGUAAGCCGCUAAGAAACUGAUAUUUGAACACCAACACUUGUGGACAGGUAAUACAAGAAUACUAACAGGCAUACAGUAUAUUCUUUAUCCUCUGCGAAGAACGACUAGUAUCACUGCGGCUCACUGAGUAGCUUAGACCCGUCUUCAUGUACAGUAUAUCUAUAAGUCUAUAUUGUAUUGCCACUAGGUGGCCAAGACGCGCACACCAAAACGAACAACACAAUGUCCAUUAAUUUGAAGCCAAAAAUGUGGCAAAAACUUAAAUUAGCUUACAUUUUAUUUAGUUGUCAUUUCUAUAUGAUUUUCAUCCAUCCAUCCAUUUUCUCCCGCUUACCCGAGGUCGGGUCGCGGGAGCAGUAGCUUUAGCAGGGACGCCCAGACUUCCCUCUCCCCAGCCACUUCAUCCAGUUCUUCAGGGGGGAUCCUGAGGCGUUCCUAGGCCAGCCGAAAGACGUAGACUCUCCAGCGUCCCCGGGGUCUCCUCCCGGUGGGCGUGCCCGGAACACCUCACCGGGGAGGCGUCCGGGAGGCAUCCGAAUCAGAUGCCCCAGCCACCGCAUCUGGCUCCUCUCGAUGCGGAGAAGCAGCAGUUCUACUCCGAGCCCCUCCCGGAUGACCGAGCUUCUCACCCUAUCUCUAAGGGAGAGCCCGGACACCCUGCGGAGGAAACUCAUUUUGACUGAGGACCACGGUCUCAGAUUUGGAGAUUCUGGACGUGCGUAACGUGCUGGUGGUGGUGUCCCGGUGGUAUGGAGGGAUUCUGCUGGGUCCUGACCGCUUCAAGCACAUCAACAACUGCGCUCGAAGCAUAUUGGUGGAAGAGGGAUACACCGCCUCAUCUG